rnacentral:lncRNA from 1 species
UUUAUUUUUUGUUUUUAUUUAUUUUUCUGCAUACAUAGUAGGUGUAUAUAUUUUGGGAGUACAUAAAAUGUUUUGAUAAAGGCAUGAAAUGUGAAAUAAGCACAUCAUGGAGAAGGGGAUAUCCAUCCCCUCAAGCAUUUAUCCUUUGAGUUACAAAUAAUCCAAUUACACUCUAAGUUAUUUCAAAAUGUACAAUUAAGUUUUUAUUGACUAUAGUCACCCUAUUGGGUUAUCUAUAUUGUCCAUCCAUGCAUCCAUCCAUCCAUCUGUCCAUCCAUCUAUUCAUCCAUCCAUCUGUCCAUCCAUCUAUUCAUCCAUCCUGCCAUCCAUCCAUCCAUCCAUCCAUCCAUCCAUCCAUCCAUCCAUCCAUUUAUCGACUCCUUUAAAAGAUAUUCACAAGGCAUCCAUUAUGUACCAGGUGGUAGGUAUCCUGUGCAUUGGGAAUGCAGCAGUAAACAAAUAGACCUUGUUCCUGCCUGCAAGAACUUAAAAUCUGCUUGAAGAACUAAAGAACUAGACCCCAAAUGAGUAAACUCUGAAAAAUUUACAAUAAUAGUGGAAAGUAUUAACAUAAAGUAAAAUUGCAUGGAUAUAAUCGAUAAUAUUAUAGACAGUUUUUUCCUUCAUAGAGACAAUGGUCUAGCGAGAAUACGUAAAUUUAAAAAGCAGUUAUAAUACCUUGUCAUAAAUGCUAUGAUAGGAGAUGGAUAAAACACUCUCGGCAGAGGAUAGCAGAAACUUCCCUAAGCUGUAGAAAAGUUGGAGAUCAGGCAGGAAAUCUUCUCACAAUGAUAUUUAACCAUAACCAGUUGGAGAAGAGUUAGAGAAAUACUCUAGGUACAGGAAAAUAUGUGUGCAAAGGCUGCAAGGCCAGAGGACCUGGUGCAUUUAAGGAACUAAACAAAGUUUGAUACAAACAGAAUUUAAAAAUAACUGAAGAAAUAGAUGAAGCUGUGGAAAGGAUAUGAAGAUCCUGGUGAGAAAGUAGUUGAACUGAGAAUCCAUAGACUUUCCAUAGAAUUUGAGUUGAAUACAUAUCACCCAGUGGGCUGAAACCAGGUAAAAUUUUAUUACAUGCUCAAAUGAAGACAAAGGGCAAGUAUAGUAAGAGCAGUUGAGUGAGAGAAUGCAAGAAUAAGAUGUUUUAGUCAGAGAAUGAAAUGACAGAAUUUAUAUCAGAGGUUGAUAAGUUAUGGGUGAAAAAAAAUCAGAGUGAGGCAAUAGGCGUGGGGGAUUAAGAUGGAGGGGAAGGACCACAGAUUACUGAGGAUGAAGAGAUAGACCAAGGGGCAUAUGAACAAUGAAGUAAUCUAGGACUAUGAUUAAACUAGGGACUCUUAGCUGGCGACAAGCUUUCAAUGAACAGGGGAAAGUUAUUAAAAGCUCAUGGGUAACUGAUUCAAAUUGUGCUGUCCAAUACUGCAACUGCCCACCAUAUGUGGCUACUGAGCACUUAAAAUGUUUUAAGUACACCAUGGUAAAUACAAUGUUAUUUUUUAAAUGAAUUUUGGCUUUCUUUUUACUUGUUUAAUGUGGCUACCAGAAAAUUUAAAAUUAGAUGCGCAGUUUGCAUGUCGGUUCAGAUUAUAUUUCUAAUGGACAGUGCUUGAUAAUAGAAAGAAACAGAGAGUGUUUUAGCUCAAUAAAAUGAUGCAUGAGGAGCCAGAAAUAUUUUAUAUAUUAUAUAGCAAUAAUUGUUGAUGGAAUUAUCUAAAUAUUUUGUUUUCAUGUGCUUUUAUUACAUCAUAAAGGUGUGUAGAAAAUAAAGCUGCCAAUACUAGUGUUAAUACAAUCGUGGCUAAAUCGACGUAAUUAUCUACACCAAAAUAUAUUUGUCCCUUAACUUGAAUUGGAUUACCACUGACCAAUACAUCAUACUUGAACAAAGAGAUGAUUUCUUGCUACUAAAUAAACAAGUUCAUAGGCAGUUCCUGGAAGACCCCAAAAUUUUCUGUUGCUCUGAUCCUCAUUGCUUUGCCCUUGGUAUUGACGAGUAAGCCGAUUGGCUUUUCUUUAUUUGGGUGAUAAGAUCUGUGUCAAUAAUUGAGUUUAUGGAGAGUAGACCAAUCCAGCUGAGUAAUUUGGAUAAGAAAGUUCUUCUUGCAGUUUAAUUUUCUAAAAUUUUACCCACAGCGCAGGAAAGUAGCUGUGGCCAGACCGCUUUUCCAGAUUGCUCUUCACUGUGCAGGGCACCCCUGAGACAUCAGGAGCUGCGCAGAUGCAGGAAAGAGACUCCGCAAUAGUCCAGACAAGUUACUAAAACAAAAAUUUAAAAACCAAUUGUUUAAA